GACGAACGCUGGCGGCGUGCCUAAUACAUGCAAGUCGAACGCAGUGGGGACGGGUGAGUAAAAAGUGGGUAACCUCCCAUCAGAGGGGAUAAAACUUGGAAACAGGUGCUAAACCCGAUAUUGGUGUAUGGACCCGCGGUGCAUUAGCUAGUUGGUGGGGUAACGGCUCACCAAGGCCACGAGGCAUAGCCGAUCUGAGAGGGGGAUCUGCCACACUGGGACUGAGACACGGCCCAGACUCCUACGGGAGGCAGCAGUAGGGAAUCGUCGACAAUGGACGAAAGUCUGACCGAGCAACGCCGCGUGAGUGAAGAAGGUUUUCGGAUCGUAAAACUCUUUUGUUAGAGAGGCGGUAUCUAAACAGAAAGCCACGGCUAACUACGUGCCAGCAGCCGCGGUAAUAC
rnacentral:rRNA from 1 species